AAAACGAAUUGGAUCAUGCACGAGUACCGCCUUUUCGAAUCCUCUCGCAAAAAUGGAAGCUCUAAGCUUGAUGAUUGGGUUUUAUGUCGAAUUUAUAAGAAGAAUCCGGGUGCCCAAAAAUCCAUCUCAGGUGUUUCAAGCAAAGAACAUAGCAACAAUGGAUCUUCUUCUUCUUCGUCUUCUCAUCUCGAUGAUGUUUUGGACUCGUUGCCCGAGAUUGAUGACCACGUCUUUGCAUAUCCUGGCACCAACCCACUAAGAACAAUGCAACCCCUUGAAGAGAAAAUCAACUUCAACGGUCUGGGUUCUGGUAAACUUGAUUGGGCGAGUCUUGCCGGGUAUAACUCGGUGCCUGAAAUCGUUCAGAGCGGGCAAACUCAGGCUCAAACUCGAGGGAUGGUGAAUUGCGUGAAUAACGGUAACGACCUGUAUGUCCCUUCGUUACCGGCGCAGAUAGGACACAUGGAUUCAAAGUUAGGCAACAACUCUGUUGAAGAGGAGGUUCAAAGCGGGGUAAGAAACUCGGGGUUAUUUCAACAAAAUUCAAGCCUAUUGACUCAGAACUUCUCUUACCCGAUUGACCCGUAUGGGUUUAAGUACUCGACCC
rnacentral:misc_RNA from 1 species